CUGGGCUUGACAUGUAAUGAACAACAUGUGAAAGCAUGCGACUCUUCGGAGGCGUUACACAGGUGGUGCAUGGUUGUCGUCAGCUCGUGUCGUGAGAUGUUGGGUUAAGUCCCGCAACGAGCGCAACCCCUGUGCUUAGUAGCCAGCAGUAAGAUGGGCACUCUAGGGAGACUGCCGGGGAUAACUCGGAGGAAGGUGGGGACGACGUCAAAUCAUCAUGCCCCUUAUGACUUGGGCUACACACGUGCUACAAUGGCGUAAACAAAGGGAAGCAGCCCUGUGAAGGUGAGCGAAUCCCAAAAAUAACGUCUCAGUUCGGAUUGUAGUCUGCAACUCGACUACAUGAAGCUGGAAUCGCUAGUAAUCGCGAAUCAGAAUGUCGCGGUGAAUACGUUCCC
rnacentral:rRNA from 1 species